CAAAAACAUCGCCUGCUAAUUUUAUAGCAGGUAGAUUCUGCCCAAUGAAGCUUAAAUGGCCGCAGUAUCCUGACUGUGCUAAGGUAGCAUAAUAACUUGUCUCUUAAUUGGAGGCUAGAAUGAAUGAACUGACGAAGAAGAAACUGUCUCAGGAGGGUAAAAGGAAAUUUAUACUCAGGUAAAAAAUCCUGAGAGUUGUAGAGGGACGAUAAGACCCUAAAAGCUUUACCCCUUUCAACCUAAGCUUAUACAGCACUAUUGGGUCUACAGGGUUUUCACUGGGGCGGUGACUCUACUAAACUAGAGCAAUUAAAACACCUUGAGUGAACCUAAUGACCUUAACUAAGAUACCAAAAUAAGUUACUUUAGGGAUAACAGCGCAAUUCUCUGUAAGAGCCCUUAUCGACCAGAGAGAUUACGACCUCGAUGUUGAAUUGAAGACUUAGCCAAAGCAGCAUUUGGCUGAAAGGAGACUGUUCGUCUCUUAAACCUUCACGUGAUCUGAG
rnacentral:rRNA from 1 species